UAGGGAAUCUUCGGCAAUGGGGGGAACCCUGACCGAGCAACGCCGCGUGAGUGAAGAAGGUUUUCGGAUCGUAAAGCUCUGUUGUUAAGGAAGAACGAGUGUGAGAAUGGAAAGUUCAUGCUGUGACGGUACUUAACCAGAAAGGGACGGCUAACUACGUGCCAGCAGCCGCGGUAAUACGUAGGUCCCGAGCGUUGUCCGGAUUUAUUGGGCGUAAAGCGAGCGCAGGCGGUUAGAAAAGUCUGAAGUGAAAGGCAGUGGCUCAACCAUUGUAGGCUUUGGAAACUGUUUAACUUGAGUGCAGAAGGGGAGAGUGGAAUUCCAUGUGUAGCGGUGAAAUGCGUAGAUAUAUGGAGGAACCCCGGUGGCGAAAGCGGCUCUCUGGUCUGUAACUGCCGCUGAGGCUCGAAAGCGUGGGGAGCGAACAUG
rnacentral:rRNA from 1 species